rnacentral:rRNA from 1 species
AUACGGGGGGUGCAAGCGUUGUUCGGAAUUAUUGGGCGUAAAGAGCGUGUAGGCGGCGUGAUAAGUCAGAUGUGAAAGCCCUGGGCUUAACCCAGGAAGUGCAUUUGAAACCGUCUUGCUUGAGUACGGGAGAGGGAAGAGGAAUUCCUGGUGUAGAGGUGAAAUUCGUAGAUAUCAGGAGGAACACCGGUGGCGAAGGCGACUUCCUGGCCCGAUACUGACGCUGAGACGCGAGAGCGUGGGGAGC